rnacentral:tRNA from 1 species
GAAUUAGAGCUUGAUUAGGAAGUUUUUUAUUUACAUUAAAAAGUUGUUGUGCAAUUCAAUAUAAUUUGAU